rnacentral:rRNA from 1 species
CAGUAGCCACGGUAAUACGAAGGGUGCAAGCGUUACUCGGAAUUACUGGGCGUAAAGCGUGCGUAGGUGGUGGUUUAAGUCCGUUGUGAAAGCCCUGGGCUCAACCUGGGAAUUGCAGUGGAUACUGGGUCACUAGAGUGUGGUAGAGGAUAGUGGAAUUUCCGGUGUAGCAGUGAAAUGCGUAGAGAUCGGAAGGAACAUCUGUAGCGAAGGCGACUAUCUGGGCCAACACUGACACUGAGACACGAAAGCGUGGGGAGCAAACAGGAUUAGAUACCCGAGUAGUCCCUGUCUCUUAUAC